GCCAGCAUGGCAUAGUGGUUUGAACAUUGGACUGCAACUCUGGAAGACCAGGGUUCGAAUCCCAGUUCAGCCA